UACGGAGGGUGCAAGCGUUAUCCGGAUUCACUGGGUUUAAAGGGUGCGUAGGUGGGUUGAUAAGUCAGUGGUGAAAUCCCCGAGCUUAACUUGGGAACUGCCAUUGAUACUAUUGAUCUUGAAUACCGUGGAGGUCAGCGGAAUAUGUCAUGUAGCGGUGAAAUGCUUAGAUAUGACAUAGAACACCAAUUGCGAAGGCAGCUGGCUACGCGAAUAUUGACACUGAUGCACGAAGCGUGAGGGAUCAAACAGGGA
rnacentral:rRNA from 1 species